UUUAAUUUUGCUGCUUCUUUAGGUAAAUUUUUCCCUAAGUUGGAAUAUAUAUAUAAAGCUCUAAAACUGUUUGUUUUUUUUUCCCUGAAGAUUCGCUUCAUAAUUCAGUUAAGUCCCUCUUAUAUCUUGAUUUUCUCCAUUUGUUGACGUGCUAACCCCCCCGCAAUUCACUGAUUUGAGAUUUCUCUCUCUGCUGGUUUAUGACUAGUCCUCUUUUUUUCUUGGGAAAUAUAGCACUAUUUUAGUUUUUUAUUCUUUAGCUUUUUUGAACUUGAGUUUUAGGGUUGUUGUUGUGCUGGAGAAUUAGCACCAUUUUAGUUGAUUCUUGAGAUUUUCUGAAGUGGGGUUUUAGGGUGGUAGUAAAGAUUCUGCCUUUUUCAUCAUUUAUGAGACAAAAAGGUUGAAUUUUGGUGUUUUAUGUGAGUAUAAUAUAAUAAAAUCUGAUGAGGCGCCGGUCCCCCACGUCCCAAUCUUCAGAUGAUUCAAUGGAGAAGGGAC
rnacentral:lncRNA from 1 species